UGUAGAAAAUGGGAAAAUGCGUUUGUUUUUAAUUGCCGAAAUGGGCUGGAAUGCACCAAAAAAAUAGGAAUUAAGAAUAAAAGUCUUUUUAAAGCACCUAAACCUUUUUAAAGAUAAAAAUUUGUUGGAUCGUUGGACUGUAAAUUUAGAUCAGUUGAAGGAGCCACUUACUGAACAUUGUUUUGUUUGUGAGGAACAUUUUAGCAUUGAAGAUUUUUCAUUCAAACGAUAUUUUACUGACAAGGAGAGGCUACGCUCUGCUCUUCAUCAAUUUUGAUCAAACUUGCAGCAAUGUUAGAGAAGCCCGCUGCAAGUUCGAUCAAAAUCAAUGAAGAGCAGAGCGUAGCCUCUUCUUGUAAGUGAUGGUACAGUACAUCAUACUGAAAGAAUAGUACCAAAAUUAAUAAGAAAAUGCUAUUCCGAUAGUUGCCGAGAAUUAUUCAGAAAGGAAGGAAUGAUCAAUGCUGAACAUGAAUCUUUUGCAGCAGAUACAGCAAAUUUGACCGGUGACGAUUGUGAUGAUAUAUGAAGAUAUCAACCAUACUCCUAAAAAAUUAAACUUUAAAAUGUUAGUGUCAACAUGUUCAAACAUAUCGCUUCUAAGUUGUUCAUGGGGUGCAUCGAAAGUAAAAAUGGAAAAUUUGUCACAUUUUUAACAAUUGAUAAAAAUGAAGUGUUACGACGUCUUCAAAUUUAUUAUGAUCUAAGUGUGCAAGUGCUUCUGGACGAUAUUCCGAUUAGGAUAAAAUGUGUGCUGAGUUCUGUAGAAUUACAGAAAGAUAUUGUCAACAUACUUCAUCUCAUUCAUGAUAUGAAAGUAUGCGAGAAUUUCAAAGAUGCGAAAAGGAUAAAGUAGCGAUGUAAUGGGUAUCUAUAAAAGAACAAUUUAGCUAUAUUAUGCAAGAAAUGUACUAAUAAAAAUAGAAACAAGAUUAAGGAAUUUAAAUUACUGGAGACAAAAAUAAAUAAAAUAACAAGAUCAAAGAAAUUGUUAAUGCGCCAAAAUAAACGUCUAAAAA